AGAGAGAGACAUGCGCGCAUAUCAAUAAGCGGAGGAAAAGAAACUAACAAGGAUUCCCCUAGUAACGGCGAGUGAAGCGGGAAGAGCUCAAAUUUGAAAUCUUAAAGGGUUUCCCUUUACGAAUUGUAGUUUAAAGAAGUGUUUUCUGUUGAGGUUUUGGUAAAAGUUCUUUGGAAUAGGACAUCAUAGAGGGUGAGAAUCCCGUAUUUGACCUUUACUUUCAACUUUGUGAUACACUUUCAAAGAGUCGGAUUGUUUGGGAAUGCAGUCCAAAAUGGGUGGUAAAUUUCAUCUAAAGCUAAAUAUUGGCGAGAGACCGAUAGCGAACAAGUACCGUGAGGGAAAGAUGAAAAGAACUUUGAAAAGAGAGUUAAACAGUACGUGAAAUUGUCAAAAGGGAAGCGUUUGACACCAGUGUUGUUUUUCUGAAAAUCAAUUAAAGAACUGUUUAUGCUAAGUUGUUUAGACUUUAUCAGCUAAUCUGUUUAGUUUUGAGCUUUUCUUUAAUGCACUUUUCAGUUAACAAGUCAACAUCAAUUUCUUUUGCUGUAAAAAAGCUUGAGGAAGGUGGCUUGAGAUUCGUCUUAAGUGUUUAUAGCCUCUUGCCUAUGCAGUCGGAGAGAUUGAGGUCUGCAGCGUAGAUCCUUCGGGGCUAAAUGCAUUUGUGCUAAGUUAUAGCAUUUUAUAGACAACUUGUUGACUAUGAUUUGUCUUGUAGCUUACUCGCUUAUGUUAUUUUACCUACGCUUAGGAUGUUGAAGACUCUACAGAGAUA
rnacentral:rRNA from 1 species